ACUAUGCCUAGCCCUAAACAUCGAUAGCACAACACCCCUGCUAUCCGCCCGGGAACUACGAGCACCAGCUUGAAACCCAAAGGACUUGGCGGUGCUUUAGAUCCA
rnacentral:rRNA from 1 species